CCUACGGGCGGCAGCAGUGGGGAAUAUUGGACAAUGGGGGGAACCCUGAUCCAGCCAUGCCGCGUGUGUGAAGAAGGCCCUCGGGUUGUAAAGCACUUUCAGUGAGGAAGAACGCCUGGUGGUUAAUACCCAUCAGGAAAGACAUCACUCACAGAAGAAGCACCGGCUAACUCCGUGCCAGCAGCCGCGGUAAUACGGAGGGGGCGAGCGUUAAUCGGAAUUACUGGGCGUAAAGCGCGCGUAGGUGGCUUGAUAAGCCGGUUGUGAAAGCCCCGGGCUCAACCUGGGAACGGCAUCCGGAACUGUCAAGCUAGAGUGCAGGAGAGGAAGGUAGAAUUCCCGGUGUAGCGGUGAAAUGCGUAGAGAUCGGGAGGAAUACCAGUGGCGAAGGCGGCCUUCUGGACUGACACUGACACUGAGGUGCGAAAGCGUGGGUAGCAAACAGGAUUAGAUACCCCAGUAGUC
rnacentral:rRNA from 1 species